UGAUGAGCGCUUCCUUUACACUGCAAACAUGCGCCGCUUACUGUAAUUACCCUUCAGAAUGAAGUUCCUGAGCUCAAAAUAGUUUCGGCCCCGCGGCUAGCUAGCUAGCGUUAUCUCGGUUGGUUCUGCUCCAGCUGUGGGCUGAAAUGAAACUAAAAAUGUUCUCAGCCUGUUGUCCAGAUAUUUACGACGACUUAGUCUUCAGAGUCAGAAAGUGGUUUUAAAAAUUAGUCAGCAGAUAUCAACACUGGAUUGUGUGCUUACCGGAGUAUCUACGUGCUUUAAUGGCAGCUGAGGAGUUGGAGGCUGUGGAGAGAAACCAGACAGCCGAGCGGUCAAAAGGCGUCGGCGAUGAGCGGAAUGGGACUUGAGAGAAGCUUGACGACAGAGCUUCACUGUUAACAUUCCCAAGUGCAACUACUCCAUCCUUAUAAGGCGGCCGAGGUGGGAAGCAAAUACAAUCUUCAAGUGGUUUGCGUACAUAAAAGCACAGGAAUAGCUUGAAGGCUUUGCCAUGUGCCAGAAUUAAAUAGAAGUUUAAAAAAAAAAAAAAGAAGGCAUGCAUCCGAGUUGUUAUGGUAAAAAAAUUAUUUCAAGACUUUUUUUGCUCCUUCAAAGAAAAGCCAAUGAUGAGGAACAAUUCAAAUAAUUCCAGGGGACGGGUCCAAACUGUUUUUCGUUGUGCUUAUGCAGUUCAGAGUACCGACUUUUACCCCCAAGUGGUGUUCUAUCAUUGGAAGAAUUUUUUUUUUUUUUUAAUGAAUCUGCCAAUUAAUCAGUUAUCACAAUUUUUUUUCCGUAUCAGGCAGGCCCGAUUCUAUUUCACGUAUGGCACAGAAGUGCAUUGCCUCCACACUCACAAUUCCCUCCGCAAUCCGACUGAGCUCGGCGAUGGCUGCUUGCCUGAAAAACUGAAUUCCACGCUCACCAAGCUAUGGCCAAAUAAGGACCGAAGCUC